AAGCACACUUAGGUCAUAGAUUUAGCCAUGCAAGUGUAAGUUCAGGGUAACCGAAACUGCGAACAGCUCAUUAGUACACUCAGAAUCUAUUUGGCGGCGAUCAUAAGAUCUCACAUGGAUAGCAGGAGUAAAUCCCGUGCUAAUACAUGCAAUUGUUUCACCGGAAGUGAAUUACGGUGGAAAAGUUGACCCUUACGGGCACGCCAUUCGAUUGAGUGACCUAUCAGCUUGUACUUAGGGUCUUUACCUAGGUAGGCUAUCACGGGUAACGGGCGGUUGCCGUCGGACUGCCGGAGAAGGCGCCUGAGAGAUAGCGACUAUACCCAUGGGUAGCAGCAGGCGCGAAACUUUCCCAAUCGAUACUAUCGGAGGGGGUAAUGACCAGUUCCAUUUUCGCCUUCGGGCAUGAUGGAUAGGGGUACAGUUUACCACUGUGCCGAAACCUAGCAGAGGGCCAGUCUGGUGCCAGCAGCUGCGGUAAUUCCAGCUCUGCGAGUUUGCUCCCAUAUUGUUGCAGUUAAAACGCCCGUAGUCUGAAUUUAGAAAAGUGUUUACACGUUCACUGCGAACAAAUCAGGACGCUUAGGGUAAGGAUCCUUGUAUGACCUAGCGCAGUAUGUUAUCUUUGUUUAACCAAACAAGCUCAAUGAGAGCCAUCGGGGGUAGAUCUAUUUCAUGACGAGCGGUGGAAUGCUUUGACUCAUGAGAGAGAAUCUAAAGCGAAGGCAUCUACCCAGAGGGUUUCUGUCGAUCAAGGGCGAGAGCAGGAGUAUCCAACCGGAUUAGAGACCCGGGUAGUUCCUGCUGUAAACGAUGCCGACAGGGGAUUGUCCUUUUGGGCAGCACCUUAGGAGAAAUCAUAGUUCAUGGGCUCUGGGGGAACUACGACCGCAAGGCUGAAACUUGAAGGAAUUGACGGAAGGGCACACCAGGGGUGGAGCCUGUGGCUUAAUUUGAAUCAACACGGGGAAACUUACCAGGACCAGAUGUUUUUUAUGACUGACUGUCUACCGGGCAUUCAGGAUAUGACUUGUGGUGGUGCAUGGCCGUUGGUGGUGCGUGGGUUGACCUGUCUAGCGUUGAUUCAGCUAACGAGCGAGAUUAUCGCCAAUUACCUACUGCGCUGGCGUCCGCCAGUUGUAGUUCUAAUUGGGACUCCCUGCGUUUAAGCAGGCGGAAGAGGGUAGCAAUAACAGGUCCGUGAUGUCCUUUAGAUGCUCUGGGCUGCACGCGUGCUACAAUGUUAGGAUCAAACAGUUUGCUACUCCGAAAGGAGCUUGGCUACUCUGCAAUACCUAACGUAGUUGGGAUUGAGGGUUGUAAUCACCCUCAUGAACCAGGAAUCCCUUGUAAGUGCGUGUCAACAUCGCGCGUUGAAUACGUCCCUGCCCUUUGUACACACCGCCCGUCGCUCCUACCGAUUGGAUGACUCGGUGAAAUCACUGGAUGCUACGGCAGAAGGUGAUUAAAUCACGUUAUCUAGA
rnacentral:rRNA from 1 species